rnacentral:rRNA from 1 species
AUUGAACGCUGGCGGCGUGCUUAACACAUGCAAGUCGAACGGUAAGGCCCUUCGGGGUACACGAGUGGCGAACGGGUGAGUAACACGUGGGUGAUCUGCCCUGCACUUCGGGAUAAGCCUGGGAAACUGGAUCUAAUACCGGAUAGGACUCCGGACUGCAUGGUCUGGGGUGGAAAGCUUUUGCGGUGUGGGAUGGGCCCGCGGCCUAUCAGCUUGUUGGUGGGGUGAUGGCCUACCAAGGCGACGACGGGUAGCCGGCCUGAGAGGGUGACCGGCCACACUGGGAGUGAGAUACGGCCCAGACUCCUACGGGGGGCAGCAGUGGGGAAUAUUGCUCAAUGGGCGCAAGCCUGAUGCAGCGACGCCGCGUGAGGGAUGACGGCCUUCGGGUUGUAAACCUCUUUCAGCAUCGACGAAGCGAAAGUGACGGUAGGUGCAGAAGAAGGACCGGCCAACUACGUGCCAGCCGCCGCCGUAA